rnacentral:rRNA from 1 species
AUUUACAUCUUAAUCGCCAGGGAACUACGAGCUAAGCUUAAAACCCAAAGGACUUGACGGUACCCCAUAUCCCCCUAGAGGAGCCUGUCCUAUAAUCGAUAAUCCACGUUUAACCUCACCAUUUUUAGUUAAUCAGCCUGUAUACCUCCGUCGUCAGCUUACCACGUGAGCGCCAAUUAGUGAGCUUAAUGUUACUUCACCAACACGUCAGGUCAAGGUGCAGCAAAUGAAAUGGGAAGAGAUGGGCUACACUUUCUAAUGUAGAAGAAACGAAAAACUACCUAUGAAACCUAGUUAGAAGGCGGAUUUAGCAGUAAAAAGAAAUCAUCAUGUUCAUUUUAACUCGGCACUGGGGUGUGUACACACCGCCCGUCACCCU